AACAACAUCAUUGGCAAGCAGCCCUCAUCAGAAAUGGUCUCCAUGGAAGGGUGGCUGUCCAGAUGCCAUUCUUAAAGAAGGGAACCAGGGAGAAAAGGCUGAGGUAUGCCACAUGA